rnacentral:rRNA from 1 species
GACGAACGCUGGCGGCGUGCCUAAUACAUGCAAGUCGAGCGGACUUGAUGAAGUGCUUGCACUUCUGAUGGUUAGCGGCGGACGGGUGAGUAACACGUAGGUAACCUGCCUAUAAGACUGGGAUAACAUUCGGAAACGAAUGCUAAUACCGGAUACGCGAAUUGGUCGCAUGACCGAAUCGGGAAAGACGGAGCAAUCUGUCACUUAUAGAUGGACCUGCGGCGCAUUAGCUAGUUGGUGAGGUAACGGCUCACCAAGGCGACGAUGCGUAGCCGACCUGAGAGGGUGAUCGGCCACACUGGGACUGAGACACGGCCCAGACUCCUACGGGAGGCAGCAGUAGGGAAUCUUCCGCAAUGGACGAAAGUCUGACGGAGCAACGCCGCGUGAGUGAUGAAGGUUUUCGGAUCGUAAAGCUCUGUUGCCAGGGAAGAACGCUUGGGAGAGUAACUGCUCUCAAGGUGACGGUACCUGAGAAGAAAGCCCCGGCUAACUACGUGCCAGCAGCCGCGUAACAC